rnacentral:rRNA from 1 species
GGGUUGUGAGGUUAAGCGACUAAGCGUACACGGUGGAUGCCCUGGCAGUCAGAGGCGAUGAAGGACGUGCUAAUCUGCGAUAAGCGUCGGUAAGGUGAUAUGAACCGUUAUAACCGGCGAUUUCCGAAUGGGGAAACCCAGUGUGAUCCGUCACACUAUCAUUAACUGAAUCCAUAGGUUAAUGAGGCGAACCGGGGGAACUGAAACAUCUAAGUACCCCGAGGAAAAGAAAUCAACCGAGAUUCCCCCAGUAGCGGCGAGCGAACGGGGAGCAGCCCAGAGCCUGAAUCAGUGUGUGUGUUAGUGGAAGCGUCUGGAAAGGCGCGCGAUACAGGGUGACAGCCCCGUACACAAAAAUGCACAUGCUGUGAGCUCGAUGAGUAGGGCGGGACACGUGGUAUCCUGUCUGAAUAUGGGGGGACCAUCCUCCAAAGGCUAAAUACUCCUGACUGACCGAUAGUGAACCAGUACCGUGAGGGAAAGGCGAAAAGAACCCCGGCG